UACGAAGGGGGCUAGCGUUGCUCGGAAUUACUGGGCGUAAAGGGUGCGUAGGCGGCUUUUUAAGUCAGGGGUGAAAUCCUGGAGCUCAACUCCAGAACUGCCUUUGAUACUGAGGAUCUGGAGUUCGGGAGAGGUGAGUGGAACUGCGAGUGUAGAGGUGAAAUUCGUAGAUAUUCGCAAGAACACCAGUGGCGAAGGCGGCUCACUGGCCCGAUACUGACGCUGAGGCACGAAAGCGUGGGGAGCAAACAGG
rnacentral:rRNA from 1 species